AGCGAACGCUGGCGGCAGGCCUAACACAUGCAAGUCGAACGAACCCUUCGGGGUUAGUGGCGGACGGGUGAGUAACACGUGGGAACGUGCCUUUAGGUUCGGAAUAACUCAGGGAAACUUGUGCUAAUACCGAAUGUGCCCUUCGGGGGAAAGAUUUAUCGCCUUUAGAGCGGCCCGCGUCUGAUUAGCUAGUUGGUGAGGUAAAGGCUCACCAAGGCUACGAUCAGUAGCUGGUCUGAGAGGAUGACCAGCCACAUUGGGACUGAGACACGGCCCAAACUCCUACGGGAGGCAGCAGUGGGGAAUCUUGCGCAAUGGGCGAAAACCUGACGCAGCCAUGCCGCGUGGAUGAUGAAGGUCUUAGGAUUGUAAAAUCCUUUCACCGGUGAAGAUAAUGACUGUAGCCGGAGAAGAAGCCCCGGCUAACUUCGUGCCAGCCGCCGCGGUAAUAC
rnacentral:rRNA from 1 species